UCUCCCGACCCGUAGCCCUGCUCUGUUACGACUGCGUGGGUGAGUCGUCUAUAAAAACUCAUCUCUGCGCGUCUCUUCGCCGCAUUCGCUUCCUGUUUUUGGCGUAUCUGUUGUGUCUGGUUGCAGGCACCGCAGUCGCCGUGAAGAUGGCGUCUACCAGCCGGUGACCGGGUUAUCGAUGUGGGAUCUGAAUGGCGAACUUUCAGCAAUGACAAAGCAACAAAAGAUCCAUCUCGAGUUGGUGAUUCUCAGAAUCCUCUUCUGAGUGACGGAGAUUUGUCUACCAUGAUUGGCAAGGGCACAGGAGCUGCAAGUUUUGAUGAGUUUGGCAAUUCUAAGUACCAGAAUCGGAGAACAAUGAGCAGUUCUGAUCGGGCAAUGAUGAAUGCAUUCAAAGAAAUCACUACCAUGGCAGACAGAAUCAAUCUACCUCGAAAUAUAGUUGUAAGUUCUUGUCUGCCUCCUUUAGCCAUUCUGGCAUUGACUUUGCAUCAUUUAAUGAACACAUGAAAUUUUGAUAUUGCAGC
rnacentral:sRNA from 1 species